UCAAAACGCGUACAAAUAUUCGCGACGUGCAACACGUUGGGAAUAUCUACAAAUAUAUUUUGAAACGUGUCUAGUUUGUUCUCCAUCUCCGCUGGGUGCCCUAUCGAUCAAUGAAGAGACCGACUCAGAAGAAGAAAUAUCAACACUUCGCUAAAAUCUUCAGUACAAGUUAUCACUGUGUCCACAAGUUCAGCUCUGCAACGAUUUAACUGUGCCUGCAGUAUGUGGUAUUUUUUUACUCUUUUUACUUUUUAUAAUUAAUUUACUCUACACUGCCUUUGGUCGACUAGUAGAGAAUGCUUUAGGCAUAAUUAUUAUUAAUAUUAACUCCGCCAAUGUAAAUGUUUACAUGAAAUGUACUAAAUAAAUAAAUUUUCACAAGAA